rnacentral:tRNA from 1 species
UUAGUUGAAGCCAAAAAGAGGCAUAUCACUGUUAAUGAUAAAAUUGAAGCAUAAUUCCAACUAAA